rnacentral:rRNA from 1 species
UGGCGACCGGCGCACGGGUGAGUAACACGUAUCCAACCUGCCGAUAACUCGGGGAUAGCCUUUCGAAAGAAAGAUUAAUAUCCGAUAGCAUAUCAAUCCCGUAUGAGAUUGAUAUUAAAGAAUUUCGGUUAUCGAUGGGGAUGCGUUCCAUUAGUUUGUUGGCGGGGUAACGGCCCACCAAGACUACGAUGGAUAGGGGUUCUGAGAGGAAGGUCCCCCACAUUGGAACUGAGACACGGUCCAA